GACGAACGCUGGCGGCGUGCUUAACACAUGCAAGUCGAACGGAAAGGCCCUGCUUUUGUUGCUUGCUCGAGUGCCGAACGCGGGAGUAACACAUGAGUAUCCUCCACUUGACUUUCGGAUAACUUCUGGAAACUCGGGCUCAUACCGGAUAGGAGCUCCUGCUGCAUGUUGUGGGUUGGAAAGUUUCGGCGGUUGGGGAUGGACUCGCGGCUUCUCCGCUUGUUGGUCUGGUAGUGGCUUACGAAGCCUUUGACGGGUAGCCCGCCUGAGAGCGUUAACGGGCACAAGGGGCCUGAGAGAGGGAGCAGACGGGUACGGGAGGCAGCAGUGGGGAAUAUGACGGAAUGGGGGGAAGUGUGAUGUAGCAGCGUCGCGAGCGUGAUGACGUCCUUCGGGUUGUAAACCGAUGUCGACGGUGACGAGGAGGGAGUGACGGUAAUGGGUAAAGAAGCACCGGCUAACUACGUG
rnacentral:rRNA from 1 species